AUGACACCCGCUCACCUCUUCUCGUACACCAUCAUCGGCGACCCAGGCGUCGGGAAGUCGUGCCUGGAGCAGCAGUUCACGGCCAGGGCGUUCCCGGAGGAGCACGAGCCCACCAUCGGCGUCGAGUUCGGCACGCGCACCAUCGCCGUCCACGACAAGCGCGUCAAGCUUUACAUCUGGGACAUGGAGGGCCGCGAAACGUACGUAUCUGUCACUCAGCAGUGCUACUACAGAGCUGCUUGUAUCAUUUUGGUUUAUGAUAUCACAAGGAGGGAGACUUUUGAUCAUAUUGCUGUAUGGCUAUCAAGAGCAAGAAAGCUAUCGAGAGCCGGUGUAACAUUGGUGCUGAUCGGGAACAAAUGCGAUCUGUCUCACAUGCGUGCUGUCGGCUAUGAGGAAGGUCGAAAGUUUGCCAAGAGGCACAAACUGGUGUUCAUGGAGGCCUCUGCAAAAACCACACAAAAUGUUGAGGAGGCAUUCGUUGUGACCACCGAAACAGUAUACCAGAAAGUCGAAGAUGGUGUCAUCGACUUGUCUGAAAAGGUGUCGGGAAGACGUGCCUGGAGCGGCAGUUCACGUCCAGGACGUUCCAGGAGGUGCACGAUCUCACCAUCGGCGUUGAGUUCAGCACGCGCACCAUCAACGUCGACGACAAGCGCAUAA
rnacentral:rRNA from 1 species